CUGUAAACCCGAAUGCUCAAAGUAAUUAAUUCUAUUUAGUACUGUUAACUUAAAUCAUUACAAUUAGUUCAAAUUAAUUAACCUUGUUGAGUAUUUAGAACUUUCAGAUAUUUAUGAGUUUGUACAAAUUAAACUUUUUAAGUUAGAUGAAUGCAUGUUGUUUUUAAUUUGCACUAACUGUCUCUUUAAUGUACUCCAACUUAAAAUCCCUCAGUUUAGAGAUUUUGCGUCUGACGUCAUCCGUGUUCACGUAAGCUGCUCGCGUUGAGUUCUUCUCCUCAAGAUGACGGAUCGGUCGCUUCAUGGGGUGCUGUAAGUAUCACCUUUAAACUCAAUGUAUCAAUUCUAAAGGCCAUUAUGUUUACUUUUCAUGUACAUAAUUGUGUUUAACAGUUAGAUGUGAUGUAGAUAUAAUAUUUUUAGAUGCGUUGUCACAUUGUUGCUGUCUUUUGUGAGUAAUGGCAUAUUUGGCUAGGGAAUUUAGUGACUGCAGUACUGGAAGAUUCCAGUAGGGGGCGUUGACAGGUGACUAGGGUCAAGCACGCGUUCCUUUAGUAUCAUAGAACAAUACACUGAUCGAGGGAAACUCAGCGUGUUUCUUUGUCUCUAUACCUGUUCCCUUAUUGCAGAUUUCAAAUAAGAUGAUAGACUGGGAGUGCAGGGUGUAAAAAGAUUCAUCGUUCAAGACUCCACCUCCUCAGACACCACACAGCUAGAACAUAGACACUGCUCAAAAAUAAGUCCACUUCCAUCUUGAAGAUUCUGAAGUGCACAUUGAGAAGGAGCCACUGGAGCAAUAUACGGUUGUGCGUUACAGCUCUAAUGCCCAAAUGCAUAGUGACCCAGUGAAUGUCUCUGUUGUUCUUGAGGACGAAUUGGUCCACUCCCCACCCACAACCAACUUCCAGAGGCCUUUCUUGUCCUGUUUGGAUUCCAGUAUGCUUUUCACAUACAUAUUCCAAAAGGACUUGCAAAAACAUUUGUAUUUGUGCAAAAAACAUUUGCUUGGCAUGGAAGGUGGGAAACUGUCUCCUCGCCUGCAAACAUUAAAGAACGAGUUGAUGUGAAGCAUAACUUGUACUACCUCAGCACACACAAAAGACAAAAAGAGUUACUUAAAUGUUAUCUAACUGAUGUUACUCUGAUUUUUUACUUGUAUCUUCUUAGUUCUUAUUGACAAGUUAUUGUAUUAACAAACCGGUUCAGUUUAAGAAAUUGUCAUGUUUAAUGCAACUGUGUGGUGUUAAUAUAUGAAGUUGGCUGUUAAGCAUUACUUGCUCAUUUCUCAUUUUAUAAAAUGCUGUUAAACCGUUUGAGCCUGUUAAAAGGUAUGUUGUGUUGCUAAGAGAAUUUAAUUUUUGACUGAAAAAUAUGAAAUGCUGUUAAACAGUUAUGUUACCUUGAACCCAUUAAAAGGGUAACUUUACUUUUGCUAAACAGACUUUAAUUUUUCACUGCAGAUUGUAUCACAUUUGUAAAUUUAAGAGAGAUGUUUAAUGCAACUGUCUCAUGCUAGUUUAAAUGUAUGAAAUGUGCUGUGGAGCAAUCCUUUUGUGAAAUAAAUUGCCAAAAUUUUAUUACAUAUGUCAUGUGUUUCUGUGAAAUUGCUGAAGCAUUUUGAUAAAGAUUUUAGAAGUUGAUUUAACCUGAUAUAGAAAAUAAAUAAUUUGCUUAGCAAGAACUCAAAUAGAAAAGUAUAGUAAAUGACACAUAUGAUUUGCAAGAACUAAAAAUACACAAGUUUAGUAAAUUAAAUGUUUGAGUUGCAAGAACUCAAAAUAUAAC